CCCCCCGCCCCCGCACUGGGCAGUUAGAGCAGUUCACAGAACUCAGAGAAACAUUAUCCUGACUGGAGUACCAGUUUACUAUAAAAAGAUACAACUCAGGAACAGCCAGAUGGAAGAGAUGAAUCGGGCAAGUUGACAGCCCUGCUCAAAGUUUAAAGCUUUUUUUUUUUUUUGAGGAAGAUUAGCCCUGAGCUAACUACUGCCAGUCCUCCUCUUUUUUGCUGAGGAAGCCUGGCUCUGAGCUAACAUCCAUGCCCAUCUUCCUCUACUUUCUAUGUGGGACACCUACCAAGCAGUGCCAUGUCCUCACCUGGGAUCCGAACCCCGGGCCACCAAGAAGCGGAACAUGCGAACUCACUGCGCCACCAGGCCGGCCCCCGCUCAAAGUUUAAAAGGACAGAAAUGAGGGUGUGAGUUAUAGAUGUGGACAACAAACCUUAGUAGUAUUGGCUGCAGCUGAGACUCCGUUGUCAAUGGAAGAUCUGGUCAUUUAAGAAGACUCCUUCAGAGAGCUGCUCAGAUGCCAGCACACUUGAGAAUGGAGAAUCUGGAAUUAUGUUAACAUACUGGAACCUUCCAUGGAGACUGCGAUGGUGAAAGAGCAAUUUGAAUAGUAGAGUUUCAAAGCUGUCAAAGAAAUUGAUGAUGUGUCCCUGCUUGCCAGGAAGGGACUUGUACAACACCUUUGAACUGAACAGAAGAGGCCAAUAAAAAUGGAACUUCUGGGGGGACUCCAUGAAAUCUAUAACUGAAGUGGCCCCAUUCUUCUCUUCCUGUCAAGCUAGCCAUUCUGACAUCUAUUAACUAAUACUGUAAGUGGGGUAAAAUUUUUUUGAUUAUGACAUCUGUUUAAAUUGGCUUUCUGUGUCUGUUCAUAAUUUCGCUUAGACUAUAUGCUUUUAGCAUUUACUAGAUUGGAGGCAGUUUCUAGGGGCAGGAAAAAACAGAGUUUUCAACAAAGAUUAAGUUAUAGGUUUUUAAAAAUUCACUUGUGUAUUUUUGGAGGGUAUAUUUGAAUUGUUUAUUGGCACAGUUAUCUGGCAGACUUCAGUUAUCUGAACUGAUUUCUGUCAAGUUAUUAAUAGAUUGCUUGCCUGUGUUUCCCUGUAUUUUAUAUAUAAAUAUCUAGGCAGGAGAAUAGUCAAGGUUUGCAGUUCACUGUCAUGAAGCUGUCUGUGUAUCCUAUGUUUAACCACCUAUGAUUUCCCAAGCUGGCAGCUUUUAUGAGAACAACUAAAUUCAAGGUCCUAUAUAUUUCUUUCAAAAUGCAAAAUUUGGCCCUAGCAGUUUCAAAGGGGUUUGAAAAAACAGAGCUCCUAAAUAGUAAUGUAUAAAAUGCACUUAAUUAUAUAAUCAGCCUUUAACUAGCAAUCCUACUUCUGGGAAUAUAUCCUUAGAGGGUAAAUAAUUGUAGAAAAGAAUCAUCCCAAAGGCUCAAAGGCAUUCACAGAAGUCCUGAGUGCAACAGCAAGAGGUGAGAAACAACCUACAGGUUUAACAACAAAAUAAUGGGUAAAUGGAACAUAUCUCAUUAGGAUGGAUUCUUACGAAGUCAUUAAAAAUGAUCAUCCUGAAGGCAGGUAUAGCAUCAUGGGAAAAUGCUUCUUAGAUAAUGUAAAGUAAAAGAGGCAGAACAUAAAAUGCUAUACUGACUGUUAAUGCAAAUGUAAAAAAUGUAUGCAUUUGGACCAAAUGAAAAUAACUAUUCAGUGGUGGGAAUAUCAGUAAUUUAAAUAUAGAAUCUUCAUUUUUUUAACAAAAAGAGGAAAAGUAAAAAGUUUUAAAUAGCCUGACCAUAUAUUCAAGAGCCAAGUCCCUUGCUCAGUUUUCAUGGAUUUGUAAAAAUGACAGCUUGUAUGUGAAGGCAAUUUGAGUGUUAGCCCAGGAACCUGAUUUGUUUGCCCCAAUAAAUUCACUGUAUCUUGAUUUUAUUAAUAAAUUCUGUGCAAAUUCCAAUGCCAACUAUUUGCUACCUUUAU
ensembl:lncRNA